CCAUGCGGCAAAUCAGCCAGCAGACUUGUUUUGCGACUCUGGCUAGUGGCUACCAUUGAUCAGUUAGGAACAGAUGCAUUCAGUCCCGAUCAGUCUUCAUCCCCAAAAUGCGCGAUACAAGGCCACUGUCACGACCCCAAAUUUUAAGGCCCGGACAGUCCGGUAGCUCCUCUGUUCUAAUGUGCCGCGCGUCGCGCGAGGCCACGCGCCAGCCAUCCUCGGUAUGCGUGUGUCGGGCAUCGCCGCCGGCCAUCCUCGGUUAAUGCGUCCUUAUCCGCAGUUGUCGUCGCCGGCCUUAUCCCCCUCUGAGCUGCCGUUUUCCCCUUCUCCUUCUCCCCAUUCCUCGAGCUCGAGCCGAGCAAUGGCACAACCGGCGCCACGACCAUCUCCGUCGCACCUCGCUCCGAUUCCGCGCGCCAGAGCCAGCUCCGCCUUGUCCUCCACCUUUGCCGUGCUUCCCCAAGUCCGGCCGAGCCCCACCCUAACCGGAAUCGAUCCCGCACCGGCCGGCCGCCAUUGGAAGCCGUCGCGAGGAGCUUCGUUGCCGCCGCCGAUUCGCCGCCCAUGGCUUCCCGGCGAGCACCUCCACCCGUCAUCGUCUCUGCUCGCUAUGGCGCCUCCCUGUUGCGCCGUCCCUUCGUCUGAGCUUUGGGUGAGCUCCCCCUCACCCUGGACCGCGCUCUGCUCGUGCUGUUCCGCCCCUGCUUGCCGCUGGCGGGAGUGUGACUGAACCGUCAGAGAACGAACCCGUUGAGCCUGCCGAGUCCGUCGAGCCUGAACCCGGAGUCCAGUUCAUGGUCGAGCCCGAAGUUAACCAAGGCAAGCAGCUAAGCAUAAUCCCUUGCACCUAUUUAAUUUGACUAGUUUAGUGAUCUCACUUGGGUAUUGUUGGGUUAUAUAUAUACUAUGUAUGUAUUACAUUCUUGUACCUAUUUUCAUGCAUUCUCCUUCCUUGAUUCGUUUAUUCAUAUCCUUGGCACCAGUUAGACAGUUAAUAACUUAAUCUGACUAGAUGCUUAGCCCUGCUUAGAAUACUCAUAUUGCUCGCUAGACAGGAACGGUUUGGAGGAUCACACGUACCGAUAAUCCUUGAUCGCACU